GAUCGGUUCAUUCAUGUGCCCCUUCGCCUAGAAGUCCGCCAGGAGCCGCUCCUUGUCCGUGCCUCACUGCACCGGCGAUCAUUCCCCGCCCUCGUCGGCCCCGGGCGUCACAGGCCCACCAGCUUCCGCUUGGUUCGUCCCCGAACCACACCGUACUGAGAGAGGUCGGCUCUGAUACCAACAAAGAAGCAUGACUCUAUCUAUCUAUCUAUCUAUCUAUCUAUCUAUCUAGCCCGUUUUUUCCUUUAUGGCUUCCAUCUUCCUCCUCUUUUAAUCGUUCAUUCUGGGAUUCCGUUUGCAUUCUACCGCUUCUUCCUCUGUUUUCGUUCUGACGCUGUGCAUACCUUCUUCAGAUGAGUAUGAAUGUUGCAGGUCAUAUUUUGAAACAAUACAAGAGAAAGUUCAAAGGAGGGACUUUUACAGUGACAUGGAAGUAUUUGAGUGAAAAUGUUAUGAAAAAAGUAAAAGCCAGAUUCAAUUUGAGUAGAAUUCUGCUACUAAAUGUUUGAUAGUAUUAAUGCCACAAUUAAUCCACCAAAGUGAGUAUGACUUGGAUAGGAACAGCAAGAGGUAUAAUGCAGAAAUUACAUUAGAGAAGAAGGAAUAAGCAGAGGAAAAGAAAAGUACACCAUAGGGAGGUGCCUCAAAGAAAGAAAUGGUCUUUUGGCCUAUUUUGGAUAGGUUGUGAAUGAGACAUUGUCAUUUUCCCUCCCAGGCAGAGAUUGUGGUAUCGCAUCAGAUGGUGUUCAGUUGUUGGCAGGAAAUGACGCCCGAGAUAAGCUUUUAUUCUUCAUCCUACACUGCAGCUGCUAGGGCGAUAUACGUUGGAGUUUUGAUCAAAUUUCAUGUCAAUCUGUGAUGCAAGCUUGAGGGUUGACUAUUGGGAAUUUAUUCAUCACCAAAGUUGCUUCAUAUACACCCUUAAAUGAUUAUUUGAUGGCCGCAAAAUUGAAGGAUCAUGGUUUUCAGGCUUCAAAGGGAGAAGUCAAUUGUCUCAAUUUGGCCACAGAAAGCAUACAUAGAGCUGAACCUAAAACAGAUGAAGUAUAUGAUCAGGCAACUUUGCUUCCUGCAGCAGAUGUGAGUGUGCUCUGACUUCUGCCAUUGGAUUGAUUGGCACAUCGAUUGAGGUACUACACCCGAGAGCUAAGAAUCAGAAUAUUAUGUCUGCAAUCGAUCGCAUCCCUUUGCUGCUUCAAUAUUCUAUAAAUGCUUCUCCUGGAUGUUCCCAGUUGCAUUGUUUUGGAUUCUCUUUGAUUCUACAUCCUUGGAUGAUCAAGUAGCCAAUUAAGUGUGAUUCAAGUGUAUCAUCUUAUCCAAGCUAAAGACAGAUGUUCUCAGGAACGAAAAAAGUAGGAGUAACGAAGAAGAUAAAUGGGAAUGGAUAUGAGAAUUCUUACUGAAUGCACAAGUUGCAGCAUUGUUGUCUCCCGCCAAGGUAUGAAUCAUCCUUCUUUUUACUUUUUUCACCUUUGCUAUUUCUUUCCUCUUUCACUCCCAUUCUUUAUGUUUUUUUUUGCCUUCUUUGAAGUUUUAUUUUUCAGCUUAUGCAUUCCAAAGACUAUUCACAAGUACAAUGAUUAUAAGGAUGUUGGUUUUUGUACUAACUGAUUAUAUGAAUUAGAAUUAUGUGAGCAGAGAGAGAAGGAUGGGACAGAAAAAUGCUAAAAUGAGUGAUUUUAGAUUGCAAGAACUUCAAUCUUUAAACAAGAAAGCAAAGUUCUCAGCCAGCAGAGGCAACAUCAAAGUGAAGGACAAGAAAGUAGUGGACAGAAAGUUCAUAUCUCUGAUCAAUUGUACCAAGUGAGAUGCAUUUAGAAACUGUACGAGUUAUUGUUGUUGAUUCUCAAGAGGAUGAUAGUAUGGAUAAGAAGGGUAUCAGUAUCACCAGCUCCGCUAAUAAAUAGUAUUGGCUUACUUGAGGUCAACACUAUAGGUUUUGGUUAAA